UGUUGACAAGAAAGGAGGAGCAACCUGGGAAUCCUUGGAGAAUGGUCUCAUAAAUAUUGGACAAAAACCAGUUGCUGAAAAACUAAGAGAAAGAAGGAAAAACAGAAAUAAAUAAAGACUCAUACUAUAUAAAGGAUGAUGUUAUUGAUUAUGAUAACAGCUUGUUGUUUUUGGUAUCAAAAGGAAUUCUUAGUAAUGCA